AUGCUUUAACAGCACAUAUGCUAAAAUUUGAAAGAUACAGUAGCAUGGCCCCUCUGCAAAGAUGACAUAAUGAAGUGUUCCCUAGUUUU
rnacentral:snRNA from 1 species